rnacentral:lncRNA from 10 species
CUGAGAAGGGGCGGUCCUGCGGAAUGCGUCGAAGAGGGCUCCGCGCUCCAAGAGAGAAGCCUGAGGACAAAGUUCUGGGAGAUCGGCAUUGACUAUGUAAGUAACAACAACGGCCUAAAGAAGCAACAAGAAAGGAACCGAGUGCCUGGAGAACUUCAUGGAGCAGAGCCACUUGCCUACUUUGGAUCAUCUGUCUCUAAGAGAGGGAAAUAAACAUUUCUUUUGUGUG